rnacentral:lncRNA from 1 species
GGGAGGCCACGGGCGGUGCGGUCGCGGAGCGACGCUGAGUGCCGAACCGUAGCAUCGAUUGGGGCCCGCGCUGUUGGGGAACUGGACGCUGGAUUGGUCGCUCCCUAUCGACCGCAAGUGAGUCCAAUGGUGGCGGUGCGCUGCGGACGUCGGCUGGCGUCACCACCGCGGCACCGUCGGGCCAGGGUGGGAUAGCGUCGACGGGCAGCUGCUGCGUGAGCGACGUUGCCUCGCUGGAGCCGAGCUCUCCGCUCUCCAGCUGCUCGGCCGGCUCGGACGGCGGCGAGCCGCGCCCUCCGCC